rnacentral:rRNA from 1 species
AGCGAACGCUGGCGGCAGGCUUAACACAUGCAAGUCGAACGGGCGUAGCAAUACGUCAGUGGCAGACGGGUGCGUAACGCGUACAGAACGUACCUCAGGGCGGGGGAUAGCGAUGGGAAACUGUCGGUAAUACCCCAUUGUAUUAUGGGUUGGCAUCAACCUGUAAUUAAAGUUACGGCGCCUUGAGAUCGCUGUGCGUCCGAUUAGCUAGUUGGCGGGGUAACGGCCCACCAAGGCGACGAUCGGUAGGGGGUGUGAGAGCAUGACCCCCCACACGGGUACUGAGACACGGACCCGACUCCUACGGGAGGCAGCAGUGAGGAAUAUUGGUCAAUGGGCGCAAGCCUGAACCAGCCAUCCCGCGUGCAGGAAGACGGCGCUAUGCGUUGUAAACUGCUUUUCCAGGGGGAGAAACUUGCGCACGUGUUGCGCAAUUGACGGUACCCUGGGAAUAAGCAUCGGCUAACUCCGUGCCAGCAGCCGCGGUAAUUCUCG